CCACAAAGUCCAUGAAGUCAUGGGUAGUGUGACACAUGAACUAAGAGACACCAAGUGGGGUGUUACACAUGAAGUCCAAAAUGCCAUGAGGGAGGGUUAACAUGAAGGCAGAAAUGGCAUGUGGAGUUUACACAUGAAGUCAGGGACGACAGGGGCAUUUUUACACACAAAGUCAGAGAUGCCGGGGACUGUUACACACAAAGACAGUGUGGAGAGAGUGAAGUCACGGACACCAGUGGUAGUGUUACACACCAAGUCCAAGAUGACAGGUGGAGUCUUGUGCAUGAUGUCAGAGGAGCCAGGUUGAGUGUUACACGUGAAGUAAGAGACCCACAGGGGAGUGCUAUCCACAAUGACAUAGACGACAGGGGGAGUGUUACAUGAAUUCAGAGAGACCAUGGUUACAGUUACACAAGAAAUCAGAUAUGACAGGUGGAGUGUUACACACAACUUCAGAGACAUCACAGGGAGUGUGACACACGAAGUCAGAGAUGACAUAGGGAGUGUUAUGCAUGAAGUCACAGACACCAUGGGGAGUGUUACACACAGAGUCAAAGAUGCCAGGUGGAGUGUGAGACUCAAAAUCAGAGAUGAGAGGGUGAUUGUCAGACAUGAUUCAGAGAUGCCAUGAGAUGUGUGACACACAAAGUCAGAAGACCACUGAGAGAGUGAUGCAAGAAUUCAGAGAUGCCAAGGGAGUGUGACACAUUAAAUCAGAGAUGCCAGGGCAAGUGUGACUCACAAUCUCAGAGACAAUGGGGGAGUGUCACACAUAAAGUCAGAGAUGCCGGGGGAGUGCUACACAUGAAGUUAGAGACAGCAGGGGAGUGUUACACACAUUUAGUGUUACACAGGAAGUACAAGACAAAAGCAGAUUGAGACAUAGGAAAUCAGAGACUCCAAGGGGUGUUGUACACAUGACAUCAGAGUCACCAUGUGAAGUGUGAGAUGAGAUGACAGAGACAACAAGGGGAAUGUGACAUACAAAGUCAGAGACCACAGGUGAAAUCUGAAUUGUGAAGUCAGAAUCACCAGGAAUAGUGUUAAACAGGAAUUCUGAGACACCAGGGAGCGUGUGAUUCAUGAAGUUAGAGAUGCCAAUGUAGUGUUACUCAUGGUGUCACAGAUGCCAAGGGAGUGUUACACACAAAGUCAGAGACACCAUGGGGAGUGUUACAUGUGUCGACGAAAAUAAUCCAUAACCAAUCUAUAAAUGAAAAUUUGGGUGAGUUUAUUCUGAGCUUAAAUCUGAGGAUUAUAACCGGGGCCUUUCUUCCUGAAGGAAGAAAGGGCACCAAAGAAGUGGGGUGCACAGACUGGUUAUAUACCCCCAGGGAGGAUGUUUCACAUAGGAUUGAAAUGUCCCUUUUACAAUAGUCGUGAGACUGCUCUGUCGGCACAGCGAUUGCUGGAAACAGCAGGUAGGUCUUCUGCCUCAGUGAACGCCGCAGGGUGGCAGUCUGUUGUCUCCAGCUGAGUGGUGACAGGUGAGCUGGGUGGUCAAAGGUGAGUGCAGCAAUCAGUUCCCAGCCUAAGGAAAAAUGCUUAUCCUUAAGGAAAUGCUAAUGUGCGGGGAAGUUACAUCUUUAUCUCAAGGGCCUUUGUUCUGGCCAUAAGAAAUGUCUAAGUGGAUAUACAAUGCAUGCUCAACAGCCACGGUCAGGUCCUUUUGGAAAAAACAAAGUCAGGCCGAAUUAGGUUUAUACCAAAUGACUUCCUCAUAUACUCCAAUAUAUCCUAUUGCUUGCCAUUUUUAUUUGUCAUUUUCCCCUUUUGAUCUCUAAUCUUUCGAUAGAAAGCAUUGAUGAUCAAAACAUUGUCCCUCAGCGCCAGGGUGGCUGCUGCCUGCCCUGGGUCCAUCAUGUCCCUCUGUGCUAGAC
rnacentral:lncRNA from 1 species